rnacentral:tRNA from 1 species
UAGCUCAGUUGGUAAAGAAUCUGCCUGCAAUGCAGGAGACCCAGGUUCAAUUCCCGG